UACGUAGGUGGCGAGCGUUGUCCGGAUUUACUGGGCGUAAAGCGCGCGCAGGCGGUUCGUUAAGUCCGGUGUGAAAGCUCCCGGCUCAACUGGGAGAGGUCAUUGGAUACUGGCGGACUUGAGGGAUGCAGAGGAAGGUGGAAUUCCCGGUGUAGCGGUGAAAUGCGCAGAUAUCGGGAAGAACACCCGUGGCGAAGGCGGCUCUCUGGGACGGUACUGACGCUGAGACGCGAAAGCGCGGGGAGCGAACAGG
rnacentral:rRNA from 1 species